rnacentral:lncRNA from 1 species
AGACAUCAAAGCCUGUCUCCAGCCGUAGCAGGCUCUGCCUCCAGCCUUUCGUCUCUCCGGCAUUUGUAAAAUGUUGAUGGCCAAGCAUGAUACCUCAUGCCUGAGACGCCAGCUCUCAGGAGGCCCCCGGCAAGUUCAAGGCCAGCUUGCUCUACAUGAUCCAAAGAAGCGUCUUUCUCUGAUUCCUUUUAUCUGGAAGAACUGAGAGGAGACGGGCGAACGGUUGUGAGAAUCUCUUUAAGGGGCAGUCCUGGAAUGAGUGAAGGUCCCUCAAAACACAGAGACCUUGGGACUGGAGAGAUGGCUCAGCGGUUAAGAACACUGACUGCUCUUCCAAAGGUCCUGAGUUCAAUUCCCAGCAACCACAUGGUGGCUCACAACCAUCUGUAAUGAGAUCUGACGCCCUCUUCUGGUCUUCAGACACACAUGUAAGAAACUGCUGUAUACAUAAUGAAUAAAUAAAUCUUUAAAAAAAAAAAA